UACGAAGGGGGCUAGCGUUGCUCGGAAUUACUGGGCGUAAAGCGCACGUAGGCGGCUUUCUAAGUCGGGGGGUGAAAUCCUGGAGCUCAACUCCAGAACUGCCUUCGAUACUGGAGAGCUUGAGUCCGGGAGAGGUGAGUGGAACUGCGAGUGUAGAGGUGAAAUUCGUAGAUAUUCGCAAGAACACCAGUGGCGAAAGGCGGCUCACUGGCCCGGGUACUG
rnacentral:rRNA from 1 species